CUUUGCUCUAUCUUUUAUUCCUCUGCGACACAUUCUGCGUCGAGUUCGGCGAUGAUUACAAGGCGAGGUUAGGGAUACCAACAAAAUUCAGAUGCGUCGUUUUAGUGCUACUCUAUGGGUGAAGAAGGUGCAUUCAAAAACUAAACUGCAGUUAAUGAGGGAGGUUGCCGACAAAGUUGAUGCACAUCUUGAGCUUGCUCUUGCCCUCACAUGCGAGCUCCAAAUGCAUCUCCAUAGUCAUGGCGUUCGCGAUCUAUUGUAGCUUUCCAAUCAGCGUGGCGCACUGCUUCUUGAGCUCCCUCACUAUUGCCACCGCCCUCAAUCUGUGGACCUCUUUCUUUUUUGUGACAUGUUUAUUUAAUGAGCAUGAUUUGUUGAUUACUUUUCUUCUUUGUUUUCGUUCAAAGGUGUUGAGUAAGAUUCAGGAGGAGUUGAAGACAUGUAGGAAGGAACUGCAUGCGUCAAAAGAAACCUUUAAGAAGCUGCUGAUGGAAAAAUCUCUGCUUGAACAGAAGGUCCAAAGGCUUGAGAGAAUGACAAAUGAAGAGAAAAGUUCAAUGGAAAAAUUUUAUGAGGAGAAUCGGAAACUUAGAGUGUAGAAAGCAGAACUGGAGCAGAAGUUGGAGAGCACCUCACAAGCCUUAACAGCAGCUGAAUCUAGGCUUACGCUGAGAAAUGCUGAACUAGAUACGUUGCAGAACAGUGUAAAAGAACUUGAAGAAUUGCGAGAAUUUAAAGCAGACAUUGAUAGGAAGAAUGAGCAAACAGCUACAAUUUUACAGAAGCAAGGUGCUCAGUUGGCUGAAUUAGAAGCACUCUAUAGGGAGGAGCAAAUUUUGCGAAAACGAUACUAUAAUACAAUUGAAGGUUUCCUCUCUAUUUCCCAGUGCCGCACCACCACCUCACAACCACUGCACAUGCCAUCGUCAUCCCCACCACCACCUUUCCCAUCUUCUCUGAUUGGGGGAAAAAAUAAAAAUUGUAUACUAUACUUUGUACUUGAAAUGGUUGCU